rnacentral:rRNA from 1 species
UUCUGUAAUUUUUUUAUUCAUCUAAUUCAUCUAGCGAAGCAGGGCUGAGCCUGGUCAGUACCUGGAUGGGAGACCUCCUGGGAAAAAACUAGGUUGCUGCUGGAA